rnacentral:rRNA from 1 species
AUUGAACGCUGGCGGCAGGCCUAACACAUGCAAGUCGAGCGGAGCGGCGGACGGGUGCGUAAUGCCUAGGAAUCUGCCUGGUAGUGGGGGAUACCGUCCGGAAACGGGCGCUAAUACCGCAUCCUAUCAGAUGAGCCUUGGUCGGAUUAGCUAGUUGGUGGGGUAAAGGCCUACAAAGGCGACGAUCCGUAACUGGUCGGAUAGGAUGAUCAGUCACACUGGAACUGAGACACGGUCCAGACUCCUACGGGAGGCAGCAGUGGGGAAUAUUGGACAAUGGGCGAAAGCCUGAUCCAGCCAUGCCGCGUGUGUGAAGAAGGUCUUCGGAUUGUAAAGCACUUUAAGUUGGGAGGCGUUACCAACAGAAUAAGCACCGGCUAACUUCGUGCCAGCAGCCGCGGUAAUUC